AUACGGAGGGUGCAAGCGUUAUCCGGAAUCAUUGGGUUUAAAGGGUCCGUAGGCGGGCGAUUAAGUCAGAGGUGAAAUCCCACAGCUCAACUGUGGAACUGCCUUUGAUGCUGGUUGUCUUGAGUUACAGUGAAGUAGAUAGAAUGUGUAGUGUAGCGGUGAAAUGCAUAGAUAUUACACAGAAUACCGAUUGCGAAGGCAGUCUACUAACUGUAUACUGACGCUAAUGGACGAAAGCGUGGGGAGCGAACAGGAUUAGAAACCCCAGUAGUCC
rnacentral:rRNA from 1 species